rnacentral:tRNA from 1 species
GGGGUUAUGAUCUAGCUUGGUAUGAUGCGAGGUUUGGGACCUCGUCGCCCCGGUUCGAAUCCGGGUAACCCCG